AGAACGAACGCUGGCGGCGUGGAUAAGACAUGCAAGUCGAACGGGACUUACAGUGUAGCAAUACAAUGUAAGUCCAGUGGCGCAAGGGUGCGUAACACGUGGGCAACCUGCCCAAAAGUGGGGGAUAGCUCGCCGAAAGGCGAAUUAAUACCGCAUGUGGCUAGGAAUUUAAAUUUUCCGACGCCAAAGCCGGGGCAACCUGGCGCUUUUGGAUGGGCCCGCGGCCUAUCAGCUAGUUGGUGAGGUAACGGCUCACCAAGGCUAUGACGGGUAGCUGGUCUGAGAGGACGACCAGCCACACUGGAACUGAGACACGGUCCAGACACCUACGGGUGGCAGCAGUCGAGAAUUUUUCUCAAUGGGGGAAACCCUGAAGGAGCGACGCCGCGUGGAGGAUGAAGGUCUUCGGAUCGUAAACUCCUGUCAUGAGGGAACAAACCUACAUGUUUAACUGAUGUGUAGCUGAUAGUACCUCAAGAGGAAGGGACGGCUAACUCUGUGCCAGCA
rnacentral:rRNA from 1 species